AUGAUUUGCUUCAAUUAUGGUGGUCCUGGUCACUAUGUUGGCAACUCUGUGAAGCCCAAAACCUGCUUUAUAUGUCAAAAAAAUCACAAUGUCAACAACUGCUCUACUUGGUCUAGAGUGCAACCUACGGCCGCUUUCUUUGGAAGUGGUGCAAGUGGUCUUGGUUUUUACCAUGUGGAUGUUCCUGUGGCCAAUGAGUCAAGGUGGUUGAAUUUCCAAAAUUCUGGUGUGGUUAACAUAACCAAAGGUGAUGUGGACAAGGAGAAACUGAUGAGUCUUCUGACUGCUACUUUUUGCAAAACCAAAGCUUGGCCUUGGCAGAUUAGAGGGUUGUCUAGCAAAAAUUUCCUAGUUAGGUUCCCACCAUGGAAGAAGGUGGAGGAUUUGAUUGAACUGCCUGGCUUCUGCCUGCCUGAAGAUGUGUCUGUUAAGAUGAAUGAAUGGAAAGGUUCUUGUGACCCCUUUGGGGAACUGAUUGAAGCCUGGGUCUUACUAGAAGGUAACCCACCCAAGUGGUGCACUUGGAAGGUUUUUGCACAAAUUGCUUCAAUGUUUGGUGUUUCGACAGAUGUGGACUGGAAUGGUAUGUUUAGAACCUUUUUUAAGAAUGUGAGAGUCAAGAUUUCUUGUAGAGAUCCAACUAAAAUUCCUUUUGAAAGGCUGAUUAAGAUGAAAAAGAAACUGUUCCUACCUGGGUUCACUGUGGAAGGCUUUGAA
rnacentral:rRNA from 1 species